UACGUAGGGGGCAAGCGUUGUCCGGAUUUAUUGGGCGUAAAGAGCGUGUAGGCGGCCAGGUAGGUCUGCUGUGAAAACUCGAGGCUUAACCUCGAGAUGUCGGCGGAAACCAUCUGGCUAGAGUCCGGAAGAGGAGAAUGGAAUUCCCGGUGUAGCGAUGAAAUGCGCAGAUAUCGGGAAGAACACCCGUGGCGAAGGCGGUUCUCUGGGACGGUACUGACGCUGAGGAGCGAAAGCAUGGGGAGCGAACAGG
rnacentral:rRNA from 1 species